rnacentral:other from 1 species
UGGCUACUGCAAUAUUCGUUUGCUGAUUGGGGUAUUCUUGAACCGUAAAUAAAACCCCUGGGAGCAAUUUCUCGAUAUUGUGUGCAUGUCCGCUUGACGGAAAGCCUAAUGUAUCAGAUGCGCUCCCACUUGAGCUUCUGGUUCGAGACGAAAAUCACGACGGUAUAGGUGGUAGCCAC